AUGCUGCGCGGCGCCGCCUGGACGCUGCUGGUGGCCGCGGCCCUGGGGCUCGGGGCGCGCGGGGCGCGGGGCGCGGUGGCCCUGGCCGACUUCUACGGCUUCGGCGCGGAGCGCGGCGACGCGGUCACCCCGAAGCAGGACGACGGCGGCUCGGGGCUGCGGCCGCUCUCCCUGCCCUUCCCCUUCUUCGGCGCCGAGCACUCGGGCCUCUACGUGAACAAUAACGGGAUCAUCUCCUUCCUGAAGGAGGUCUCUCAGUUUACCCCAGUGGCCUUUCCCAUCGCCAAGGACCGCUGCGUGGUGGCAGCCUUCUGGGCAGAUGUGGACAAUCGACGUGCGGGUGACGUGUACUACCGGGAGGCCACUGACCCGGCUACGCUGCGCAGAGCCACAGAGGAUGUCAGGCGAUACUUCCCUGAGCUCCCGGACUUCUCUGCUACCUGGGUUUUCAUAGCCACCUGGUACCGCGUGACCUUCUUUGGAGGCAGCGCCUCUUCCCCUGUCAACACGUUCCAGACCGUGCUUAUCACGGACGGCAAGUUCUCCUUCACCAUCUUCAACUAUGAGUCCAUCACGUGGACCACGGGCACACACGCCAGCAGUGGGGGCGACUCCACUGGCCUGGGGGGCAUCGCAGCCCAGGCCGGCUUCAAUGCGGGUGACGGGAGGCGCUACUUCAGCAUCCCCGGCUCCCGCACGGCGGACAUGGCCGAUGUGGAAACCACCACCAACGUGGGCGUGCCCGGGCGCUGGGCGUUCAGAAUCGAUGAUGCCCAGGUGCGCGUGGGGGGCUGCAGCCAUACAACAUCCGUGUGCCUGGCCCUGCGCCCCUGCCUCAACGGCGGCAAGUGCAUUGAUGACUGCGUCACAGGCAACCCCUCCUACACCUGCUCCUGCCUCUCAGGCUUCACGGGGAGGAGAUGUCACCUAGACGUGAACGAAUGUGCUUCCCACCCAUGUCAGAAUGGCGGGACCUGCACACAUGGCGUCAACAGCUUCAGCUGCCAGUGCCCGGCCAGCUUCGGGGGACCCACCUGUGAGACAGCACUGUCUCCAUGCGAUGCCAAGGCGUGCGAGAACGGCGGCCGGUGCCAGGCAGAGCAGGGCUUGGCAGUGUGCCUGUGCCAGGCUGGCUACACGGGCGAGGCCUGCGAGACGGAUGUGGACGAAUGUGCCUCCGGCCCGUGCCUCAACGGGGGCUCGUGUGUUGACCUCGUGGGGAACUUCACCUGCCUGUGCACAGAGCCCUUCGAGGGAGCUCGCUGCGAGACAGGAAGCCACCCAGUGCCAGAGGCCUGCCUCUCAGCCCCGUGCCAGAAUGGGGGCACCUGCGUGGACGCAGAUGAGGGCUACGUGUGCGAGUGCCCCCAGGGCUUCACCGGCCCCGACUGCAGGGAGAGAACUCCUGACCACUGUGAGUGCCGUAACGGUGGCAGAUGCCUGGGUGCCAACACUACCCUCUGCCAGUGCCCCCCAGGCUUCUUUGGGCUCCUCUGUGAAUUUGAAGUCACAGCCACGCCUUGCAACAUGAACACCCAGUGCCCCGAUGGGGGCUACUGCAUGGAGUACGGUGGGAGCUACCUCUGCGUCUGCCACACUGACCACAACGCCAGCCACCCACUGCCGUCACCCUGCGACUCAGAUCCCUGCUUCAACGGAGGCUCCUGUGACGCCCAUGAGGACACCUACACUUGCGAGUGCCCCCGAGGGUUCCAUGGCAGGCACUGCGAGAAAGCCCGGCCACGCCUGUGCAGCUCGGGACCCUGCCGGAACGGGGGCACGUGCAGGGAGGCGGGCAGCGAGUACCACUGCAGCUGCCCCUACCGCUUCACCGGAAGGCACUGCGAGAUCGGGAAGCCAGACUCCUGUGCCUCGGGCCCCUGUCACAACGGCGGCACCUGCUUCCACUACAUUGGCAAAUACAAGUGUGACUGUCCCCCAGGCUUCUCUGGGCGGCACUGCGAGAUAGCCCCCUCCCCCUGCUUCCGGAGCCCCUGCAUGAAUGGGGGCACCUGUGAGGACCUGGGCACGGAUUUCUCCUGCCGCUGCCGAGCAGGGUACACAGGACGCCGGUGCCAGGCAGAGGUGGACUGUGGCCCCCCAGCGGAGGUGAAACAUGCCACGCUGCGCUUCAACGGCACUCGGCUGGGCUCGGUGGCCCUGUACAAGUGUGACCAAGGCUACAGCCUGAGCUCUCCCAACCCCGUCCGCAUCUGCCAGCCACAGGGCGUCUGGAGUGAACCUCCACAGUGCCACGAGACAGACGAGUGCCAAGCGCAGCCCUGCAGAAACGGAGGCUCCUGCAGGGACCUCCCGGGGGCCUUUGUGUGCCAGUGCCCUGCGGGCUUCACUGGAGUCCACUGCGAGACAGAGGUGGAUGCGUGCCACUCCAGCCCCUGCCAGCAUGGAGGCCGGUGCGAGAACGGUGGCGGGGCCUACCUGUGCGUCUGCCCGGAGGGCUUCUUCGGCUACCACUGCGAGACAGUGAGUGACCCCUGCUUCUCCAGCCCCUGUGGGGGCCGCGGCUACUGCUUGGCCAGCAACGGGUCCCACAGCUGCACCUGCAAAGUGGGCUACACGGGCAAGGACUGCGCCAAAGAGCUCUUCCCACCAACGGCCCUCAAGGUGGAGCGAGUGGAAGAGAGUGGGGUCUCCAUCUCCUGGCGUCCACCUGAAGGCCAGGCCGCCAGGCAGAUGCUGGACGGCUACGCGGUCACCUAUACUUCCUCGGACGGUGCCUACCGCCGCACAGACUUUGUGGACCGGAGCCGCUCCUCGCACCAGCUGCGGGCCCUGGCGGCCGGCAGAGCCUACAACAUCUCCGUGUUCUCGGUCAAACGCAAUGCCAACAACAAGAACGACAUCAGCAGGCCGGUGCUGCUGCUCACCCGCACACGACCCCGCCCUGUUGAGGGCCUCGAGGUCACCAAUGUGACAGCCAGCGCCAUCUCAGUGCGGUGGGCUCUGCACAGGAUCCGUCACGCUACCGUCAGCAGCGUCCGCCUGUCCAUCCGGCACCCUGAGGCCCAGGAGGACCAGUCCACCGACCUGGACAAGAGUGUGGACAAGUUCACGUUCGGGGCCCUGCUGCCAGGAAGGAGAUACGCCAUCCGGGCGAUUGCCCUCAGCGGGCUUGGGGGACACGAGCCUCCCACCGAGAGCCUGGCCUCGGCCCCGCUGCACGUGUGGACCCGGCCCCUGCCACCAGCAAACCUGACGGCUGCCAGAGUCACAGCCACCUCUGCCCAUGUGGUCUGGGACACCCCCACUCCAAACACCUUGCUGGAGGCGUACGUCAUCAACGUGACCACCAGCCAGAGCACCAAGAGCCGCUAUGUCCCCAACGGGAGGCUGACAUCCUACACAGUGCGGGACCUGAUGCCAGGACGGCGGUACCAGCUGUCGGUGACCGCCGUGCAGAGCGCAGAGGGCGACCAGCUGCACAGCGACCCUGCCCACCUCUACAUCAUCACCUCCGCGAGGGACGGCGCCGACAGACGCUGGCACAGGGAGGGGCUGCAUCCCCGGGUGCUCCGGAACAGACCGCCGCCCGCGCGCCUGCCGGAGCUGCGCCUGCUCAGUGACCGCGACGCGCCUGAAACCCAGACCCCGGCCCCCAGGUUCUCGGAGCUGGUGGACGGCAGAGGGCGAGUGAGUGCCAAGUUUGGGGGCUCGCCUGGCAAAUCGGUCACCGUGAGAUCGCAACCCACGGCUGUGGUGCAGCUUGAGAACACGGAGGAGGCCCCCAAGCAGGUGCCUGAGCAGGUCAGCCUGGCCCUCCAGCUGCCCGAACAUGGCAGCGACAAGGACGUGGCAAACACCCCUGGGAACUGCUCAGAAAACCCCUGUCAGAAUGGAGGCACCUGCGUGCCAGGUGUGGACACCCACAGCUGUGACUGCAGCCCAGGGUUCAAAGGCAGACGCUGUGAGCUCGCAUGUACGAAGGUGCCCCGGCCCUGCACCCGGCUCUUCUCAGAGACCAAGGCCGUGCCGGUCUGGGAAGGAGGCGCCUGUCACCACAUGUAUAAAAGAGUCUACAAAGUGCACCAGGACAUCUGCUUCAAAGAGAGCUGUGAAAGCACAAGCGUCAAGAAGACCCCAAACAGGUGCCAUCCCAGGGAGGAGGCCCACACUGUGUCCUGCUUAUAGUUCACAGGGAAACACAGUAACAGUCCAACACUGAAGAAAUCUUAGGGCACAGGGAUUCAGGAUGUUCUUGUUACACUUCAUCAACCUCACGAGCUCCCAAAGCCCAGGAAGACGGGCUGUAAAAUUGGAUUGAAAGGACACCCUGAAAGAACAGGUCCUGGCUCGCAUCCGCCCCCUCUGCGGCUUCCCUCCUCUGGCAUCUAGAAGACAGACGGCCAAGCAGAGCCGGCUCCAGCCCACCUCCCUUCCUGGCCGCGCCGGGGAGACCCUCUGGGCCAAAUCACCUCCAAGUCCUGCGGUGCUGGCAGCAGCCUGCUCCGUACCCCGGCUGCCGUGGCCCUGGCUGCCGUCUCCCACGGGGAUAGCGCGCUGCGGCCAGGGAGCAACCACAGCGCAUGCACGGGCCCUGGAUGAGCGAGGCUGCCAGCCGGCAAGGCUCCUGCAACACCGGGAACCAGUUCUCAGAUCCCAAAGUCGGAGGGCCAUUCGCCCCCCGGAGACCUAACAAUCAAACUGAGGACGACCUGCUGUCUGGCUUCCACGGCCCAGCCAGCGGUGCCAGCGAGGGCGGGCGGCGAGGCCAGACGGCAGGGAAAGCUGAGUUCUGGGCGCCCCGCCCGGCUCCUCCUGCAAAGUCUUUGCGCUGAUACGCUGCAGGCUGGCGCCCCAUCACACAGGCCAGACUGCGGAACAGAAAAUGUUAAUUAAUACUAAGAUGGAGUCUAGACACUUUUCGCCUGCGACUUUUUCUCAAAGUGACUAUUUUUGGCUUUGUGGACCUAGCGGUCUCUGUGGCAACCAGUCAGCUCGGCGUUGGCAGCACGACCCCGCGGCCAGGCCCUGACCUGAGGGUGUGGCCGUGUUCCAGGAAAGCAGUAUUUACAAACUGGGGGCCCAGGUCCCAUGGCCCAUACGUGGCCAAGCCCCGGUCUGUUCGGGUCACCCAAGCCUUGUGCAGAGAGAGCCACCCCCAGAUGACAAGGAACUGGAGCCCUGAGCCGCCCGGAAGCCAAGGCGGCACCCCCACGCGCGGGGCCUGAACACCAGCCCCCGGGCAGGCCAGAGCCCACCCUACUGCAGAUCCCUUGCUGUCCACGACGCGGUCAACACGGUUCCAGGCUGGCGGCUCGCACAGUUUUUCACACAUUUCCCGCUUUACCAGCAGAACGCUGCCCUGCCUUGCCGCCGGUGCCUGCAGCACGCCUCUCUGAGCCCUGCCUCCUCCCCGCGCAGAGGCUAAGACCAAGUGUGCCAAGCCCGCCUCGUGUCACUUGCAGCACCUUCGUAGCUGACCCAGACUGGAACUCAGGCCCCUGCAUCUGCCACGGCCUCUGCCCCGAGUCAGCACCACAGCCAGAGAGGGCUCCCUCCAUCUUUUAUAAAAACAUUUUCUGAAGAGUUAGAGUAUAUUAUAGGCUUUUUAUUUUUAUUAAAGUUUUGCGUGCAUA